UUCUUAUCCAGAGAGGUGGAGGGACUGGCCCUUUGAAACCUCGGCAACGGAUCCGUUUAAUCGGACACCGUGCCAAUUCCUUCAAGCUACGGCUUGAAAGAUGAGAA
rnacentral:ncRNA from 2 species